rnacentral:lncRNA from 1 species
GAGUGAAGCUCAUGCAACCAUCAGAAAUAACACAAGUAACAGGUGGAACAGUAUUGGAAGAAUUCAGCCUGGAAAGAAGAUGAUGAAAUGGGAGUAAGCAGUGCUUGGAGGUGGAGUUACAGAGAGAAGGGAUGUCUUGAGUGGCAUCUGCAUCCGAAGGUGGAAGCCCAUCAGGGAUAGCCUCAAAGUGAAAAUCUGGCAAUCCGUCAAGAGAGUCAGGGCCUCUAGACCUGAGCAAGCGUCUGUGGUUAUACUCUGUAUUGACAAAAGUUAUGUGAAAACCAUUGGAGUGGAGGAUUUUUGCUAGCUUGAGCAUUGAAUUUACAGGACCUUGAGCUGGAUAUGGGACGCACACAGCAUGACAUCUCUCGUCUCUGGCAACGGCAGAAGAACCCAUCUGUUUAUAUAUGUAUUCUGUACUUAAGUCUGCGAGAACCGAAUUUGGUGAUGGAAAAGAAGCUAAAUUCUGCUUCUUAAAACACGAGAGAUUGGCUUGAACAGUUCAAUCGAUUAAAAAAAUAAAACACAGCAGAGAAUUCCUGCCCGUAUCAAGCAAUCAGAGAUCUGCAAUAGAAAACGGAUAUGGUACGCAGACAGCAUUUACUGACGCCAUCGUAAUAAUUGUACUGAACUAACUUUAUUUAUUAUUUUUAUUCUUUUAAGAUAUUUCAUUAAAAGCCCUUACUCAACGUAGGGCCCACUGCUCAUUUAUGAAUGCAUUAAACCUUUAAUGCGUGGACCGUAAGCCAAGUUAAAUCACAUCAAAGUGGUACUAAAUUAAAAAUUAAAAAUUAAAAAUAAAUUUUAUAAGUAAGUUUUUUUAAAUUAUAUAUCAUAAUAAAUAAGUAAAAUUUUUUUAUUAAAGUAUGAAUAAUUUCAAAAUUCAAUAAAAUUUGAUCAACUUAGACACUGAAAGUAAUAACUAAUUAACAAAUCAUUAUAAAAAAAUUUCUUAAAAAUGCCAUUUAAAAAUUAAUAGUGUAAAUAAUUUAUUUUAUUAAUUAAAUUAAAUUAUUAUAUUUUUUAUUUUUUUAUAAAGUAAAAAUACAUAAUUAUUGUUUUUAUUUUGUUAUAUGAUUUUAAUAUAAGAAUAUUUAUUUUUUAUUAAUCAUUAAAAAAAUUAACUUUAAGUAAUUUUCAAUUAUAUAAAAUUUUUUAGAAUUUUUUAAAUAUUAUCAUAGUUUUUCAUAAACUCCUUCAAAUGUAGGGUCCCACAUCAAUUAUUAAGAGGAAAAAUGAUGGGUAAGAGUGUCCCACAUUAAUUAUUAAGAGGAAAAAUGAUGGGUAAGAGCCGAUCAGAAAAUUGUGCAAUAGCUAAAAACGGUCGUAUGAUAAAAUUUCUCCCUCUGAAAGACUAAAUUGCUUAUUUUGAGUGAAAACUUUGACAGCUAGUAAAAGUACACAACAGCAAAUAUACAGUACAACAAGCGAGGGUGAUACUUCUUCAGCCAUUAAAAAUUCCAAAUCAUUUUCUUUGAAGAAAUCCAAGCAGUUGGACCAAAUUCCUGUGAGAAGAGCCACCUGGUGUUGUGGCCUCCUCUGCUUUGAUCUUCCAUUCCAUUGCCUGCCUUUUCAUUUCUUUACCCUUCUUUCCAUCCAUCAACUCUCUCACAAGCUUUUCCACUUCCUCUCUUUUUACAUCAUUAUCAAUCUCCAUUCCAAUACCCCAUUCAUUGCAAGCGAACCAACAAUUGGUCUGUUGCUCCGCGAAGAAUGGCCAACAAACCACUGGAACACCUCCACAUAUACUCUCCAACGUCGAAUUCCACCCCAUAUGACUUAAAAAUCCUCCUAUUGCAGGAUGCUUCAAGAUUUGCUCUUGUGGAGACCAGCUCGCUAACGUUCCUCUGUCCUUGGUUUCAGACCCAAAUUCGGGUGGCAACAUCGCAGCUUCGCCAACCACAAGGUCUGGCCUUAUUAUCCACAAAAAUGGUUUCUUGCUGUUGGCUAGCCCCCAAGCAAAUUCUAUCAUUUGUUGUGGGGUUACCACAGUGAUGCUACCAAAAUUUACAUACACAACAGAGUUUGGUUCUUUUGAAUCAAGCCAGUCAAUACACUCUGGCUGUUCUUUCCACAGAUUUGAACCAAUGUUUAUCAAUUUGCUGUCUGGGAUCUGAUCAAGAAGCAACUGAAGAGGACCAAUAGUAUAAAUAGGAGGUAACAUGGUGAAAAGAACAUCCAACACAUUUUUCUCAAAGGCCUCGAAUGUGUUCAAAAUGACAGCAGAAGCUCUUGAAGUUCUCUCUAUUUCCCUUACAAAGAAAUUGAGCAUGAUGUCAUUUCUGUCAGUAGUUCUGAUAAAGCUUGGAAGAUCCCUUAAGCGAAUAUUUCUCAUUCCUGGAAUCCAAUCUAUGGUUGUAUCCAAGUCCCCAUUUGUUAGAUAGCUCUCAUCUGCAUUUCACAGACCAAAUCAAGUGCAAGAAAGAUUCAGUAAACCUAAGAACCUAAUCUUCUGCUAACUAUAUCUAAAAAGAGGGUGAGAGUAUUAAACCUUUAAGAGGUGUUAAGCCCCUUUCAAUCAGAUGACGAUAAUGAGCAUAGGCCAAAACGCCACAGGAGCUGGGUGUCCAGAAAAGUACAUCAGGAAUUCCAAAUUCAUGAGCUGCGUCAAGAGUGAAGCUCAUACAAGCAUCAGAAAUAACACAAGUAACAGGUGGGACAGUAUUGGAAGAGUUGAGCCUGGAAAGAAGAUGGCGAAAUGGGAGUAAGCAGUGCUUGGAGGUGGAGUCACAGAGAGAUGGGAUGUCUUGGGUGGCAUUUGCAUCAGAAGGUGGAAGGCCAUCAGGGAUAGAAUCAAAGUGAAAAUCUGGCAAGCCGUCAAGAGAGUCAGGGCCUCUAGACCUGAGCAAGCGUCUGUGGUUAUACUCUGUGUUGACGAAAGUUAUGUGAAAGCCAUUGGAGUGGAGGAUUUUCGCAAGCUUGAGCAUUGGAUUUACAUGACCUUGAGCUGGAUAUGGUACGCACACAGCAUGAGGUCUCUCGUCUCUUGCAAUGGCGAAGGAACCCAUCUGUGCUUGUGCAAUUGUGUAGUAAUACUCUAUAAGAGCUGUAGUUGAUCAGGAAAAAUGAAGCUAAAUGCUGCUUCUUAUAACCAAAGAGAGGUUGGCUUCAACAGUCCAAUCAAUAAUAUAGUUAUUUUAUAGUAUUUACACUUAUUUUAUAAAUAUAAAUAAUUUAUUAAUAUAUAUAUAUAAUUUACAUUAAUAUAAAAAUUUUAUAAUUAAUAAAUACUAAAAAAAAUAAGAUGAUGGUUAAAAUAAAAUAUAAAAUCUAGUAAAAAUUUUAAAGAGAUGUUUAGUUUACCUUUUUGUGACAAUAACUAUUUUGUAUAUUUGAUAAAUACUUAUUAGCUAUUUUUUUUCAUCAACUGUCACUGGCUUUUUUCCCAUCCAUUGAUAGUUGAUAAGAUUUUAACUUUUAUUUGGACCAUUUUUCUCCUUUGUUUAAAGCUUUUUCUUAUCCAUUCAUAGUUGAUCAGCUUUUAUACACAAUCAUAUUUUUAAAUAUUAUGUGUAUUUUAUAAUAAAUUAUUAAUUAUAUAUAUAUAUAUAUACAUACAUAUUUUACUAAUUUAAAUUAUAAUUAAAAAUUAAUUAUAAAUUAUUAACUAUUAACAACAUUGUUAAUGCUAAAUAUCGAACCGAAUCAAAUCAAGUUUUCAUAGUCUCGGCUCGAGUUUUAUUUAUUAGUUUAAACUUAAUUUAUAAAAUAAAUAUUAAACUCGAACAAUAUUCGAAUUUAAUUCGUAAUAAAUUCGUUGAUUACAUUAACGAACCAACUUAAAUUCCAUUCAAAUGAAUCAACUUAAACUCCAUUCAAAAACUUGAAUUUGCGCUCAUUUAAAUUUAAAUUUUAACUCGAUUAUAUUAUAAACAAACUUAAUAUAAUUUAAAUAUAUUUAAAUUAUAAAUAAAUUUAAAUUAAAAAUAAAAUUAAAAUUAUAAAAUCAUUAAAAAGUUUAAAAUUAAAUUUUUUUAUUUAAUUAAAAUCUUUCAAAUUCAAAACUAAUAAAAAAAAGUAAAAAGAUUAUACUUUUAUAAAAAAUUCACGGUCCAUAUACUUUUUAACUUUUAACGUGGAAUUGGUGUUAGCGAACGAGUCUGAUCACGAGUUUGUUCGUAAGCAUAUUCACGAGUCAACUCGCAAAUUUGUUUAUAACGAACCAAGCUCGCGAGAUUAAAGGAGUCGAAUACUGCUAAACUAAAAAUCGGCACGUUUAUUAAACGAAUCUAAAAAGUGAGUUUGAGUUCGACUCGUUUAGAAAACGAAACGAAUCCGAUCAAAUUUUUAUCUAAUCGAGUCUCGAAUACCUAUUGAUUACUAUUUUUAAAAAAUUACCAAACAUUUAAAUUAAAUAUUUGGGAGUUACAUCAAUUAUCAGUUAGAAAAAAUGGUAAAUCAAAAUCCUCUUAGUACCAAUUCCAUUAAGUAUAACAAAAUCACGACUAUCAGGUAUUUAUCUUGUGACCUUUUAGGAACAAACCUUUCUUUUUGUUUUUACUUAACUAAAAUUAAAAUUUUAGAAAGUUAAUGAAAAAAAAUUAAUUGGAUUAAAUUACUGUAAAAUUCUAAUUGAUUCUAAACGAAAUUUUGAUAAAAUUGGUUUAAUUCUUUGACAUUUUAGUUCUGAUUUUAUUUUGUUAUUAGUUUUUUAAUUUUGGUUUUGUGAGGUUUUUAUUUAGAUUUUGAUUCUUGAAAUUUUUUUAUACACUUGCUUUUAUGAAACAUUAUACUUAAGUUACUAUUUAAGUUUUAAAUUGUAUUAAUUAAAAUAUAUUAUAUAAUAUUUCUUGUAAUAUAUUUCUAACUAAAAUUAUCAAGGAAAAAAAAGAUAAAAUCGAUAUUUGUAUUGAUAUUAUUACUAUUUUAGUCAUAUAUAAACACGUCAUACAUUAAAAAUAUACUAAUCUAUCUAAAAAUUAAUUAUAUAUAUAUAUAUAUAUAUAUAUAUAUAUAUAUAAUUUUACUUUUUUUAUCAUGAAAAUUAAAAUUGUAUUUCUAAAGCACAAAUAAAAUAAAAUUAUAAAGAGACGCAUAAUAGACUAGAAGGCUAAACCAGCCUAAAAUUAAAAAAUAAACCAAUUAAAUAACAGAAAUCCAACCAAAACCUAACCAAAUAAAUCAAAUUAGUAAUCGAACAAAAUAAUCGAACAGAAGACUGUCGCAUACCAUCCCACACUGCUAUACCGUCUGAGCAUCAUCCAUGACUGCAACAACAGCCAAAGAGAUAAAAAGCGUGAUAGGCAACAAAACCAUAUCAACAUCCCCAAUUAACAAGGGCGGCUAAACAACAAAGAGAUAAAAAGAAUAAAGAAACUAUAAUACACACAUGGAAAAAACAGAAAUAGAGAAGAGAGGCUACUGGUAAUAGAGAAGAGAGGCCACUGGUAAGUGUAGUCCACCGACAAAAGUAGAUCCGAGGAAGGAGCCACCAUAGAGCCCAGCUAAAGAAGGCCGAUGGAAGCGGUAGCCAUCAGACGUAUCGAUGCUGUCUCGGGAUACGAUAUUACACCCAAAGGUAACCUCCCCACGGAAAGUCAAUAUCGAAGCCCUCAAGGUCCUUGCACCAGAAUCUUCCUUGUCAACAGAACCACCAAAGACUGGAGAAACGGAUAGCAAAUUAAAGCAAAAACAAAAGUCAAUCUGGUCAUCCACGGCAAAGAAAAUUCGAGAAGGACGACGGCUCUAAAAAGAAACCCUCAUUCCCUCGUUUUAAAGCAAGGAGAAGGAAAAAUACCACAUCUGGAAAAACACGAAUAAAAUGAAGUCAAUCAAGAGUGAAAAUAAUAAGAAUCAGACCCUAAAACACAAAAAAUUCCUUAUCCUUUACUCUUCUCACUUUACUUUGAUUACAAUCUAAUAAGAUUCUAUAAUAGGGUUUACAGUGUAUGAGUGAGCUUAGCCAGGGAAAAUCUUGUCUCUCCCCCUUUAUCCCUUUUCUUUUUGUCUUCUAGUGAUGCAUAACCGCCAUUCUGCUACAGUGUCACCUGUCCCUGUUACUCAGGUUCGUACGUACGGAUGUGCCAGUGUACCCCUCUCUAUUAGGCGGCCAUUUAAUUCCCCCCGACGUGCAUGCUGAUAGAGCUGCGAGGUGACUGGGCCUGCUGACUAUGCGGUUGUCGAGACCGGUCAAAAAUAACCUUUUUGGUUAUCCACAAUUUUACAACUGUAUAUAGUGAUAAAAGGAUUGAAUCCAUAUGGAAUUCAUACUUACCUAUGUUGUUGGGAAGUCCAUAAAUUAUUGCAACCCAAAGGCGCAGCGGAAAAAUAAAAUUUCUCUGAUUUCCUUUUCCCAGAAUCCGAGUGCUUCGUUUAUUUCAUAAGAAGGAUAUGAAACUAACCUGUUAAUCUCAUCAAGAAUAUACAAUGCCGAACUGAUGGUGCUGCUUUUCCAAACGAACACCCUCUAUAGUAUCCACACAAACGUCUUCUAUCUUUCUAGAGUGCUAGCUCUCUCAAAGAUGGAUAGAUUAUAUGCUCUACAAUCUGCAAUAGUUAUACUAAAUUUUUCUCCAAAAAUUAACAUUAUCCUUCCACAAUUCAUAGAAGGAGUAUUUAUAUGUUUCAGUCUUUUAUUUUUCCCACAAUUUCUUUUCCUAAAAGGAGUUGUGUUCAUAACCCACUAUCACAAUCUCACAGAUACUCAAAUAUCUUAUAUGAUAGAGUUCUUUAUUUGUAACAGUUACAGAUAAAUUGCAGAUCUUUUAAAUAUUAUUAUCUCAUAAUAAUAAAUAAUUAAUAAUAAUAACACUUUAUUAUUAUUAAUUAUAUUAAUGAUUAAUAAUAAUAACACUUUAUUAUUAUUAAUUAUAUUAAUGGGCUUUAGACUUUUAGCUCAUUAAUAUGUCAUAACACAUCAACAACAUGUAUGACCCAAUAGGCUCACAUUAAUUGGCAAUAGGCCCAGUCCCAGUCCCACAAGACUCAUAAAUCAUAAGUGGCCUCUACCAAGACAUUAUGACUACCCAAUUAAUAUGAGGAUCAAUAGUCCGAUAAAGCCUAAUAAAUAGAACAUGUAUUAAUCCCUUUGUCACACGAUAUGUAGUUUGAACAUAAGUCAUGGUCAAUGUCAAACUUAUAAUGUUCAAACUUAUGAUUUCUCGAUCUCUAAGUAGACUGAUAAAUUCAAAAGAUAUUGAUCACACUAUCAAUUCAUUUGAGCACGGCUAUACAUUUCUCAGUCUCACUUAUCGAGGGACCCAGAAGAUAGCUCUUUCAGAGAGAGGGACAAAUCCUAUCUUGAUUGUUCAUUAUCCUCUACAUAAUUUCUAUUAUGCUCAAUCAUAACCUUUAUGAUUGUCCGAUUAAAGACAACGUUUGGUUAUGUCAAAACAUAACAGUCCUUAUAUUAGAAACUAUGACAAUCUCAAGUCAAAGGAUUAAGACAUAACUAUUUUGAGAUUCACUUAUGACAAUAACCCAUGUAGUGAUCUCAGUGCGAGUCCAUCAAAUACUUUGUUCUCUAAUAAGUAUUUAUGAUUGUUAAUUAUAUCAACAUAUACAUAAUCAUCUCAUGAUUAUCAAUCAAUAAUCAUACUAGCUAUAUUUUAUUAUUAUCAACAUAAUAAUAAGUAAUCAGGGAUGAUAAUCAUUAUUAUGUAAUAUGCAAACAAAUAAUAAUGAUAAAAACUUCUUUUAUUAAUAACCAAAACGACAUACAAAAAGGUCUAAGAUAAUGGCCUAGGGCAAAUACACUAACAAUAUAUGCUUCUAUCAAAAACCAAGUAAAUAAACUGGAAAAAAAAAAUAAAAAGGGGGUUUUGAAGUUGAUGAACUAAACUAGAAUUAAAAGUAGUAAAGCAAAACAAAUAAUAGAGUAGGAGAAUUCAAUAAUAAGAAAAGUCUAGUUGAAGCUUUGGAUCCACUUCAGUUGUUGGUAUUGAUCAUUGACACUUAUGUUUUUUUAUUUGACUCAAUAAAUUAGUUAUGGGGUGGAAGACGCUUUUCACCAUCAUAUCUCUCCUUAAGCAUAUAUUAAUUACGAAAUGUUCUCUAAUUAAUCACUAAUCAAUAAGUUGCCAAGGAACGUCAUUGGGGCUUUAGAUUCAUACAACUGUCAAUUGCAUUAAGAAAUAAAGAGACCUAAUUCUAGCUAUCCAAACGUAUGGUGAUCUUGCUAGAUUAUGCAAUCUCCUUGGUGUUUACACCAAGAGUUACUUGUGUUUGAAUAAUUCAAGCAAUUAUGGAACUAAAUUACCCAAACUAACAAAUUAUCACUUUGCAAUCAAGAAUCAAUGGGCCAUAUUGAUCUAAACAACAAAGUAACAAUAGAAUUAAGCAUGAAAUUGCAUAAAUAUUGAUAAAUAAAAUAUGAACAUCAUAGGUUCAGAUCUCCCAAUUCAUUAACAAACUGAAGUUUCACUUAAUCUUCAACUAGAAAAAGAGGUUUUAGCCAAUAAUGGCUGAAACUAACAUUAAAAUCAAAGAAAGAAAGCAAGAAUAAGAAAUUGGGCCGGCUGGGCGGCUACUAGAGGCACGCGAUUGCUGGAGGUGAUGAUCUCUGAAAAAGAUCUCCCCCCUUUGGUUGCUGGAUGGCUCUCUAUUUAUAUCUGAAUGUGAAACCCUAGGUUAUCCCUUGAUUAGAUGGAGUUAUUUUCCAAUUUGGAUUUGAAUUCCUUUUGGCAAUUGAGUUUCCUUGCAAUUUGGACUCCUUGAUGGGCGGAAUUUUGUUGGUGAGGUGUCCUGAAGUGUUUGGAAUAGGACGGACUUCUGAAAGUUUGGAUUUCUGGUUUCCCGCUUUUCUGUUAUUUUCUGCUGCAAAAUCUGUUUGCGCUACUAUUUGGACAAACAGCCAGUCAACACAGUCAAUUAUGUGUUGUCUGUCAUUCUACCUCUGUUCUGCGAGAUUUGUUUGCCUAGUUGUUUGGGCAAACAGCAGGUCAAACAGCAAGUCUGCACUACUCUUCAUCCUUCUCCCGUUUCUGCUGCAACUUGGUUUGGGCAGUUGUUUGGGCAAACUAAGCUUAGCACACCAAACUUGAUCUAUUGGAUUUCUCUUCCAUUCUCUUUGGGUAGUUUUUAGGUCAUUUUUCAUCAAAUCACCUUUUUACACAAUUUUCUGCAAAAAUAUAUUAAAACCAUAAAAUUAGAUAGAAAAUUUGUAAUUUAACAUCAAUAAUAUGAAAAAUGGGCCUAAUUUUGGUUUGAUUACCUGCUCUCUUACCUUCCGUCAUAUCACUGGACUAAGCCAUCCCUUAGUGAACCUGCGUGCGGGUCAGUCUGGCCCGCUUUGGUUACGGGCUGGAGUACAUCAUAUUGGACCGGCCUGCUCUAAGAGAUUCUGAUGGGCUUGGACCUGUAUCUUUCCCUAGGACUCGACUCCUCCCUUGGGUGUAAGAAGCUAGCGAUCAUAAAGAUAAAAUUUAUUUAUUUAAUUUUCAAAUAAAAUUAUAGUUUUCUUAAUAUAAUUUUAAGAUAAAAAUAUAGUUUUUAAAUUAAAUUUUAAUUUCUGAUUUAAAUUUUAAAUUGAACUGCCAUCGCCUCCGGCUGAGCCGUUCAAUAGAUCCAUGGGUUAGAUAGGUCACCACACAAGAUCCUUCCUAAACUCCUUCAAAAACAAAGGAGAUACACUGCGAAGAAACGUUAUAGCUACCACUUCAAAUGUAGUGUCCCACAUCAAUUAUUAAGAGGAAAAUUGAUGGGUAAGAGCCGAUCAGAAAAUUGUGCAAUAGCUAAAAACGAUCGUAUGAUAAAAUUUCUCCCUCUGAAAGACUAAAUUGCUUAUUUUGAGUGAAAACUUUGACAGCUAGUAAAAGUACACAACAGCAAAUAUACAACACAACAAGCGAGGGUGAUACUUCUUCAGCCAUUAGAAAUUCCAAAUCAUUUUCUUUGAAGAAAUCUAAGCAGUUCGACCAAAUUCCUGUGAGAAGAGCCACCUGGUGUUGUGGACUCCUCUGCUUUGAUCUUCCAUUCCAUUGCCUGCCUUUUCAUUUCUUUACCCUUCUUUCCAUCCAUCAACUCUCUCACAAGCUUUUCCACUUCUUCUCUUUUUACAUCAUUAUCAAUCUCCAUUCCAAUACCCCAUUCAUUGCAAGCGAACCAACAAUUGGUCUGUUGCUCCGCGAAGAAUGGCCAACAAACCACUGGAACACCUCCACAUAUACUCUCCAACGUCGAAUUCCACCCCAUAUGACUUAAAAAUCCUCCUACUGCAGGAUGCUUCAAGAUUUGCUCUUGUGGAGACCAGCUCGCUAACUUUCCUCUGUCCUUGGUUUCAGACACAAAUUCGGGUGGCAACAUCGCAGCUUCGCCAACCACAAGAUCUGGCCUUAUUAUCCACAAAAAUGGUUUCUUGCUGUUGGCUAGCCCCCAUGCAAAUUCUACCAUUUGUUGUGGGGUUACCACAGUGAUGCUACCAAAAUUUACAUACACAACAGAGUUUGGUUCUUUUGAAUCAAGCCAGUCAAUACACUCUGGCUGUUCUUUCCACAGAUUUGAACCAAUGUUUCUCAAUUUGCUGUCUGGGAUCUGAUCAAGAAGCAACUGAAGAGGACCAAUAGUAUAAAUAGGAGGUAACAUGGUGAAAAGAACAUCCAACACAUGUUUCUCAAAGGCCUCGAAUGUGUUCAAAAUGAUAGCGGAAGCUCUUGAAGUUCUAUCUACUUCCCUUGCAAUGAAAUUGAUCAUUAUGUCAUUUCUUUCAGUAGUUCUGAAAAAGCUUGGAAGAUCCCUUAAGCGAAUAUUUUUCAUUCCUGGAAUCCAGUCUAUGGUUGUAUCCAAGUACCCAUUUGUUAGAUAGCUCUCAUCUGCAUUUCACAGAACAAAUCAAGUGCAAGAAAGAUUCAGUAAACCUACGUACAGAACCUACUCUUCUGCUAACUAUAUCUAAAAAGAGGGUGAGAGUAUUAAACCUUUAAGAGGUGUUAAGCCCCUUUCAAUCAGAUGACGAUAAUGAGCAUAGGCCAAAACGCCACAGGAGCUGGGUGUCCAGAAAAGUACAUCAGGAAUUCCAAAUUCAUGAGCUGCGUCAAGAGUGAAGCUCAUACAAGCAUCAGAAAUAACACAAGUAACAGGUGGGACAGUAUUGGAAGAGUUGAGCCUGGAAAGAAGAUGGCGAAAUGGGAGUAAGCAGUGCUUGGAGGUGGAGUCACAGAGAGAAGGGAUGUCUUGGGUGGCAUUUGCAUCAGAAGGUGGAAGGCCAUCAGGGAUAGAAUCAAAGUGAAAAUCUGGCAAUCCGUCAAGAGAGUCAGGGCCUCUAGACCUGAGCAAGCGUCUGUGGUUAUACUCUGA